rnacentral:rRNA from 1 species
AAUUUUGGACAAUGGGGGAAACCCUGAUCCAGCCAUCCCGCGUGUAUGAUGAAGGCCUUCGGGUUGUGAAGUACUUUUGCCAGAGAAGAAAAGGUAUCUCCUAAUACGAGAUACUGCUGACGGUACCUGCAUAUGAAGCACCGGCUAACUACUUGCCAGCAGCGGCGGUAAUACGUAGGGUGCAAGCGUUAAUCGGGAUUACUGGGCGUAAAGCGUGUGUAGGCGGUUCGGAAAGAAAGAUGUGAGAUCCCAGGGCGCAACCUUGGAACUGCAUUUUUAACUGCCGAGCUAGAGUAUGUCAGAGGGGGGUAGAAUUCCACGUGUAGCAGUGAAAUGCGUAGAUAUGUGGAGGAAUACCGAUGGCGAAGGCAGCCCCCUGGGAUAAUACUGACGCUCAGACACGAAAGCGUGGGGAGCAAACAG